UAGUAGUGGGUGCCGAACAUGCUACCUCCUGGACAUAUUCCCUUCUGGACAUUUCCCCCUCCGGACAUUUUCUACACAAUUAUCCACAUAAUAAGAACGAAAUAAUAAAUAAAUGAAUAGUAAAACAGACUACUAAAGAUAAGGAACAUAUAAUAAAAAAGAAAUAUGAGAAGUAAGAAAAAAAGAGGGAAACCGAGGAAGUUUUCGGAUGUUCUGUGCGCGUUCCCGAGGCCCUUCGACUUUCCAUCCCAGAAACGAUAAACGCGGUGAGUAGCGCAUUCACAGCAUUUAAAAUUAAUUUAAUAAUCCAGUCUGGUAGUUUUAAGAAGCGAGUUCUUGCAUUUGCCCUCCCCGAGCCUCGGCGGGGAUAAGGAGCGCCAGCGAGCCGAAGGUCUCCCUGGCGUGCGUGGCAGUACUGGAGGGCUCCCCGAAGGGCACCUUGGUGUUCCCCGGGGCGUCCGCGGAGGUACCGGAGAUCUGCACGGGUAGAUGGGGCUCGUUAGCCGUGGUAGGCAGUCCAUCUAGGAGAGCAAACUCCGAACAAUAUACCCGGGCAGGUGAGGCUCGUUAGCCGUGGUAGGCAAUUCGCCUAGGAGAGCAAACUCCGAAAAAUAAACCCGGGCAGGUGGAGGUCGUUAGCGUGAGCAGUUCACCUAGGAGAGAAAACUCCGAUCACAAACCCGGGCAGGUGGAGGUCGUUAGCGUGAGCAGUUCACCUAGGAGAAGGAAAACUCUGACCACAAACACGGGCAGGUGGAAGUCGUUAGCCGUGGUAGGCAAUCUGCCUAGGAGAGCAAACUCCGAACAACAAACCCGGGCAGGUGGAGGUCGUUAGCCGUGGUAGGCAGUCUGCCUAGGAGAGGGACAACUCCGAACAACAAACACGGGCAGGUUGGGCUCGUGAGCCGUCAUAGGCAAUACACCUAGGAGAGCAAACUCCGAAUAAAAAACCCGGGCAGGUUGGGCUCGUGAGCCGUCAUAGGCAAUACACCUAGGAGAGCAAACUCCGAAUAAAAAACCCGGGCAGGUUGGGCUCGUGAGCCGUCAUAGGCAAUACACCUAGGAGAGCAAACUCCGAAUAAAAAACCCGGGCAGGUGGAGGUCGUUAGCCGUGGUAGGCAAUUCGCCUAGGAGAGGGACAACUCCGAACAACAAACCCGGGCAGGUGGAGCUCGUUAGCGUGAGCAGUUCACCUAGGAGAGCAAACUCCGAACAAUAAACCGGGCAGGUGGAGGUCGUUAGCGUAAGCAGUUCACCUAGGAGAGCAAACUCCGAUUACAAACCCGGGCAGGUGGAGGUCGUUAGCGUAAGCAGUUCACCUAGGAGAGCAAACUCCGAUUAAAAACCCGGGCAGGUGGAGGUCGUUAGCGUGAGCAGUUCACCUAGGAGAGCAAACUCCGAUUACAAACCCGGGCAGGUGGAGCUCGUCAGCGUGAGCAGUUCACCUAGGAGAGCAAACUCCGAUUACAAACCCGGGCAGGUGGAGCUCGUCAGCGUGAGCAGUUCACCUAGGAGAGCAAACUCCGAACAAUAAACCCGGGCAGGUUGAGCUCGUUAGCCGUGGUAGGUAAUCUGCCUAGGAGAGGGACAACUCCGAACAACAAACCCGGGCAGGUGGAGCUCGUUAGCCAUGGUAGGCAAUUUACCUAGGAGAGGGACAACUCCGAACAACAAACACGGGCAGGUGGAGCUCGUUAGCCGUGGUAGGCAAUUCGCCUAGGAGAGGGACAACUCCAAACAACAAACACGGGCAGGUGGAGCUCGUUAGCGUGAGCAGUUCAUCUAGGAGAGCAAACUCCGAUUACAAACCCGGACAGGUGGAGGUCGUUAGCGUAAGCAGUUCACCUAGGAGAGCAAACUCCGAUUACAAACCCGGACAGGUGGAGGUCGUUAGCGUAAGCAGUUCACCUAGGAGAGCAAACUCCGAUUACAAACCCGGACAGGUGGAGGUCGUUAGCGUAAGCAGUUCAUCUAGGAGAGCAAACUCCGAUUACAAACCCGGGACGGUGGAGGUCGUUAGCCGCGAGGCAGUUCACCUAGGAGAAGGAUAACUCUGACCACAAACCCGGGCAGGAGGGGGUCGUUAGCCGUGGUAGGCAGUCCUCCUAGGAGAAGGAAAACUCCGAAUUCAAACCAACACACACACACACACACACAACCAACUAACCGGGCAGGUGGGGCUCGUUAUAGGCGUCGUAGACAAUCCACCAAGGGGAAUCAACAAAUGAAAGGAUAAUAAAAGCGACCACACGAGAAGAAGAAUAUGAAA